rnacentral:rRNA from 1 species
GAUGAACGCUGGCGGCGUGCCUAAUACAUGCAAGUCGAGCGAAUGGAUUAAGAGCUUGCUCUUAUGAAGUUAGCGGCGGACGGGUGAGUAACACGUGGGUAACCUGCCCAUAAGACUGGGAUAACUCCGGGAAACCGGGGCUAAUACCGGAUAACAUUUUGAACCGCAUGGUUCGAAAUUGAAAGGCGGCUUCGGCUGUCACUUAUGGAUGGACCCGCGUCGCAUUAGCUAGUUGGUGAGGUAACGGCUCACCAAGGCAACGAUGCGUAGACGACCUGAGAGGGUGGUCGGCCACACUGGGACUGAGACACGGCCCACACUCCUACGGGAGGCAGCAGUAGGGAAUCUUCCGCAAUGGACGAAAGUCUGACGGAGCAACGCCGCGUGAGUGAUGAAGGCUUUCGGGUCGUAAAACUCUGUUGUUAGGGAAGAACAAGUGCUAGUUGAAUAAGCUGGCACCUUGACGGUACCUAACCAGAAAGCCACGGCUAACUACGUGCCAGCCGCCGCAGUAA